GCGUUAAGUUGCAGGGUAUAGACCCGAAACCCGGUGAUCUAGCCAUGGGCAGGUUGAAGGUUGGGUAACACUAACUGGAGGACCGAACCGACUAAUGUUGAAAAAUUAGCGGAUGACCUGUGGCUGGGGGUGAAAGGCCAAUCAAACCGGGAGAUAGCUGGUUCUCCCCGAAAGCUAUUUAGGUAGCGCCUCGUGAAUUCAUCUCCGGGGGUAGAGCACUGUUUCGGCUAGGGGGCCAUCCCGGCUUACCAACCCGAUGCAAACUGCGAAUACCGGAGAAUGUUAUCACGGGAGACACACGGCGGGUGCUAACGUCCGUCGUGAAGAGGGAAACAACCCAGACCGCCAGCUAAGGUCCCAAAGUCAUGGUUAAGUGGGAAACGAUGUGGGAAGGCCCAGACAGCCAGGAUGUUGGCUUAGAAGCAGCCAUCAUUUAAAGAAAGCGUAAUAGCUCACUGGUCGAGUCGGCCUGCGCGGAAGAUGUAACGGGGCUAAACCAUGCACCGAAGCUGCGGCAGCGACACUCAGGUGUUGUUGGGUAGGGGAGCGUUCUGUAAGCCUGCGAAGGUGGCCUGUGAGGGUUGCUGGAGGUAUCAGAAGUGCGAAUGCUGACAUAAGUAACGAUAAAGCGGGUGAAAAGCCCGCUCGCCGGAAGACCAAGGGUUCCUGUCCAACGUUAAUCGGGGCAGGGUGAGUCGACCCCUAAGGCGAGGCCGAAAGGCGUAGUCGAUGGGAAACGGGUUAAUAUUCCCGUACUUGGUGUUACUGCGAAGGGGGGACGGAGAAGGCUAUGUUGGCCGGGCGACGGUUGUCCCGGUUUAAGCGUGUAGGUGUGUGUUCCAGGUAAAUCCGGUUCACUUUAACACUGAGGCGUGAUGACGAGGCACUACGGUGCUGAAGCAACAAAUGCCCUGCUUCCAGGAAAAGCCUCUAAGCAUCAGGUAACAUCAAAUCGUACCCCAAACCGACACAGGUGGUCAGGUAGAGAAUACCAAGGCGCUUGAGAGAACUCGGGUGAAGGAACUAGGCAAAAUGGUGCCGUAACUUCGGGAGAAGGCACGCUGACACGUAGGUGAAGUGAUUUACUCAUGGAGCUGAAGUCAGUCGAAGAUACCAGCUGGCUGCAACUGUUUAUUAAAAACACAGCACUGUGCAAACACGAAAGUGGACGUAUACGGUGUGACGCCUGCCCGGUGCCGGAAGGUUAAUUGAUGGGGUCAGCGCAAGCGAAGCUCCUGAUCGAAGCCCCGGUAAACGGCGGCCGUAACUAUAACGGUCCUAAGGUAGCGAAAUUCCUUGUCGGGUAAGUUCCGACCUGCACGAAUGGCGUAAUGAUGGCCAGGCUGUCUCCACCCGAGACUCAGUGAAAUUGAACUCGCUGUGAAGAUGCAGUGUACCCGCGGCAAGACGGAAAGACCCCGUGAACCUUUACUAUAGCUUGACACUGAACAUUGAGCCUUGAUGUGUAGGAUAGGUGGGAGGCUUUGAAGUGUGGACGCCAGUCUGCAUGGAGCCGACCUUGAAAUACCACCCUUUAAUGUUUGAUGUUCUAACGUGGACCCGUGAUCCGGGUUGCGGACAGUGUCUGGUGGGUAGUUUGACUGGGGCGGUCUCCUCCUAAAGAGUAACGGAGGAGCACGAAGGUUGGCUAAUCCUGGUCGGACAUCAGGAGGUUAGUGCAAUGGCAUAAGCCAGCUUGACUGCGAGCGUGACGGCGCGAGCAGGUGCGAAAGCAGGUCAUAGUGAUCCGGUGGUUCUGAAUGGAAGGGCCAUCGCUCAACGGAUAAAAGGUACUCCGGGGAUAACAGGCUGAUACCGCCCAAGAGUUCAUAUCGACGGCGGUGUUUGGCACCUCGAUGUCGGCUCAUCACAUCCUGGGGCUGAAGUAGGUCCCAAGGGUAUGGCUGUUCGCCAUUUAAAGUGGUACGCGAGCUGGGUUUAGAACGUCGUGAGACAGUUCGGUCCCUAUCUGCCGUGGGCGCUGGAGAACUGAGGGGGGCUGCUCCUAGUACGAGAGGACCGGAGUGGACGCAUCACUGGUGUUCGGGUUGUCAUGCCAAUGGCACUGCCCGGUAGCUAAAUGCGGAAGAGAUAAGUGCUGAAAGCAUCUAAGCACGAAACUUGCCCCGAGAUGAGUUCU
rnacentral:rRNA from 1 species